AUGGAGCAGAAGCUGGACCGCCUCACCAAGUGCCGCCUGGAAAUAGAGGCAAGCCUCUGGGAUGGGUCCGGCAGCCUCCUGAAGACAGCUUCCAGAACCUCCUCUCCAGAGCUCUGCAUCUCAAGCACACAAAGCACCAGACCAAUCCACCCGAGGAAAGAGUGUGCUCACAAGCAUGGGAUGCAUCUCAGCUCUCCCCAAACAUCAGGCGACAAGAACCGAGACAAGGACCCAGAGCUUCUGGAGAAUCCACUUAUUGUUCAUCUAGCUGAAGAGAUAGCUACAAGGAGACUCUCUGACAAAAUGACAGUGCAUACUGUCAUUUUGGGGGUAGGAGGUUUGCCGAACGCUCAUGUCUGGACGCCUUCUGGAGCAGCAUCUGGACAGGCUGCUCAGGGAAGUGGGAGGACAACCACUUCCACUCUUCAGACCCGCUCCACUCUCCAGCUUUCCCUCCCCUGCUUCCACCAGGGCUUGGGGCAUCCCUGGAGCAACCUCCCUGCUCGGGCUCUGGGCACAAGAUGCAGACAGGAGCUGUACACACUGGGGGCAACAGGAAGGACAGUGUUCGACAGAUCGUAGCUACUCCUCCUUUGUCCCUUCUCACUACUGCCCACCUCCCCUGUCCUAAUCAUCCAGCAGGAAACCUUGGAACUAUUUCUCUGUAGGAAAAACACUACAGAGAAAUAGUUGGACAUGAAAUGAUGAGCAAUUCUUGAGUUCUUUACCCACUCCCUUUUUUGAGACAGGAUCUCACUAUGUAGUUCAAGCUGACCUUGAACUCACUAUGUGGUCCAGGCUGGCCUCAAACUUGCAGUGAUCCUCCUGCCUCAGCCUCCCGAGCGCUAGUAUUACAGGCAUGUGGCACCAUACCCGGCUACAGUUCUUUAUCCUUUUCUGACUUUCCAAGUUGCCUACAAAUGAACAUAUAAAGAAAAUAUAAGGACUCCGACUUUUCAAAUAAAUACAUUAAAUCUCUUCAUCUGACCAUCUAUGAAACUGCACAGUCUUUCUUUCCUGAAGGAGGGCAGAGCAGACCUGCUACUAGAUUAGUUUAGUCUCUGAGACAGCCAUCCAAGAAUGCUUUGCCUGAUGGCACCUGGAGGAGCUGGACUCCUAUGCUUAGGGUGGCCUGACCCGACAGACAGAGUCAGGCAGGCUCAGUGGGACAGAAAGGGAUAACUGCACCCACAGAGCUUGGAUCCCAACACAGACGCCCUUUGUGUGUAAAUUUCAGUCCUCAAGUUAAAGGCAAAAGGGCACAUGGACAGAUCAGACCUCUUCAUUUGCCCUAGGACUUAGCCUUUCACCUACAGAGGCUGAGAGUGAUACCAGGCCAAGGUGCCCAGGACAAAGUCUCCAGAGGACAAAGGUGCAGAUGGAAAUCCUUUUGCCUCCUGCAGCUAAUGUAGCCGCAAAGCUCGGGAGGCCAGAUACUCCGCGCGUAUGUGACAAGCACCUAAGCAACGGGGGCGCGAGAUCUCAGAAUCAGAGCUGAAAGGAAGCUUAGCUCACUCCCUCCUUUGACAGAGAUGUAAACUCAGGCCAGUGCUCUCAAGGGCUUCCUGGAGAUCACCAGCCACUGGAUGACCAAGGUGGGUCUGUCAGGACCUGAUUUUCUAGCUCCCGGGCCACUGUUUGUUCCCUGGUACCAUGGCAUCCUCAGCACUCCUGACACUCCCUGGGUGCUUCAUCCAUUCUCUCACAUCACAAACCUGCCGCCCGUGCCUACCUGCCAGAGCAGCGUCCAGAACUGCCCCGUGCCAGCGAAUGACGAAUGCGCACUCACAGACUGGCCUACAAACACGACCACAGGCCUGUGGAACAAACGAGUGGCCUGUACGUGUGCAGCCCUUGUGGUGGGGUCUUGAGGUGGCGGAAAAUAUAAAAAGCCUCGAGGCGCUUAUCUCUCCUCAGACCACAGCCUUGCAGAACAGGAAAGGGCACAGGGUGGUGAAAGGCAGUCUUCACCUGCCCACCCCUGCCUGAAACUGCCUAUGCCCCUGCCCACCCUUCCCAAGACUUUUCCGACUUCUUUCCCCUGUGCUCAUUUUAUCUAGUUUCAUCUUUAUAUAGAUAUCGGCAAGGAUAGCAGGACACAGUAUAACGUCUUCCAGCCCCGAGGAGGUCAGCAGUAGAUACUGAGGCACAGAAGGCUACAAAUGUCCAUACUAGAUACUGGGACAGAGAGAAGAGGGCGACCCUGGCCUGGGAAAUUUCCACUGGCCUGGGAAGUUAAAGGAGAGACUGACACUUCACUACCCAGGGUAGGAGAAGGCCUACUACAAGAGCACGGCGGUCUCAUAGAUGUACAGUUCCUGAGGACUUGGGAGCCAGUGGCAGUGUGCAUCCUCUGCAAGUGGGACCAACCUGACGAGCGAAGGUCGGAACCAAGCAGCGGGCAGACCACUCUCACCCCUGUGGCACCAGGCAUCACCCCUGUUGUUUGACACUUGAUAGUUCAGAAAAAGUACCAAGAUGAUGACCACUAAAACAUCAGAAAUGUUUCUUCUUCCUUACAUUUAUUGUUCAUUAUUGUCUUUAUUUUAAAUUACACAUGGGGAGCACGACCAGCACCCUUCAGUGUGUGGGGCUUUUAAGGAUCUUCAUGCGGCUUCUGCAACUCUCCAUUCCAAACUUCAAGGAUUUAUGAAGCACUUGCUACCAUAGGAGGUAUGGAGCCCAGCUCCAAGAGCUCACACAAUUAGCAUGCAGGAAGCUUUCCAAGGAGAAGUAAGUAUUAGAUUCUGGCGACGGGGCAGGAUGUAGCUGCACGAGCUGCAAGCGCAUAGAGGAAGUGGAUGGAUGGAAAAGAUGUCAGAGAAGACACGGACUGGAGAAGGCCCUCGUGAGUGGUCAGAAGCUUGCACGUGUGCGCGUAUGUGUCCGCACAUGUGUGUACAGGCAUGUUAGUAUGUGUGUGACGCAGCACAAAGCAUGGUAGGCUCUUGGGAGGGUGGGGUAGGUCUGAGGCGGGAAGCAAUGGGCAAAAUGUCACACACAUUGGAGGACCUAGGGGGACACUGCUGGACACUGAGGAACACACCUGCACAUGGCAGCCGAUGCUCAUUAGGGCGUAACGAGAAGAUGUGAGAAAGGUGCAGCAAAAUGAUAAAAGGCGGAAAUUCAGGUGAUAAGCUGCAGAGGGGCAAUGUGGAGACAGAGGCUCCUGACCGGCAAAGGAGCUGGCUUGGUCAGCUUGGCAGGUGCCCUCCCAAAACCAAAGCCGUUCCUCAGUCCUCUCUUCCCGGACAGCAUGCCCAGGCUGGGGUCAAAACCCGUCUAAUGUGGUCAGGGAGCCCAGCUCACAUCCAGGCUCCUAGGCAGCAAAGGAGAAGAGAGCGUCCAGAUUGUGCCCUGUGGACAUGCCUGGUACUGCCCAGGAGCCUAGCAAAGGGAUGAGCAAAUCCAUGACUAGCCGGGCUCCCUCCUUGAGGAUGUCUUUUCAGGAUCUGUUCUUUGCACCAUGGUGGGAAAGCAAAAGCCCUGGCUUGCAUUCCAAAACUGAGAGUCUGUUGAGCUCCUAUUGCAAGCAGCCAGCCUGCAGGAAUUCCAGAGGGCUGCCUCCCUUGAGAUGUGUCACUUGUUCCUCCCUUGUGCUUCUUUGGCAUCUGUGGAACCUCUAUGCCCAGAAGACAACUGACUAGUGCAUCCUAGAGCUGAAGUCUGGACAUCCAGAUGACUCGUUCUCUGGGACACCCCAGUGGGGGUUGAAGAGCUCAGCACCUACCAUGGCAGUGCCCUCAGGGACCCCUCCAUCAUUCUCAUUACCGCAGACACAACACAAGGGCCUUUUUCACGUGCUUCCAUCUAGACACAGGGCUCACAGACACAGGAGAUCCUCUAACUGAAAGAGCUUGCUGACUGCAAUGGCAAAUCUGUCAUACCAAAUGGCUUCUGUCAUACAUUAUACGUCAUGCCAUAAGCUCCGUAGUAUCUGUCAUAUUAUAUAUCACGUCAUAAGCUCUGUAGUAUCUGUCAUACAUUAUAUAUCACGUCAUAAGCUCCAUAGUAUCUAUCAUAUAUUAUAUAUCAUGCCAUAAGCUGUGUAGUAUCUGUCAUACAUUAUAUAUCAUGUCAUAAGCUCUGUAGUAUCUGUCAUAUAUUAUAUAUCAUGCCAUAAGCUCUGUAGUAUCUGUCAUACAUUAUAUAUCACGUCAUAAGCUCUGCACUAUCUGUCAUAUAUUAUAUAUCAUGCCAUAAGCUCUGUAGUAUCUGUCAUGCAUUAUAUGUCAUGCCAUAAGCUCCGUAGUAUCUGUCACAUUAUAUAUCAUGUCAUAAGCUCCGUAGUAUCUCUCACAUAUUAUAUAUCACGCCAUAAGCUCUGUAGUAUCUGUCAUACAUUAUACGUCAUGCCAUAAGCUCCGUAGUAUCUGUCAUAUUAUAUAUCACGUCAUAAGCUCUGUAGUAUCUGUCAUACAUUACAUAUCACGUCAUACGCUCUGUAGUAUCUGUCAUACAUUAUAUAUCGCGUCAUAAGCUCCGUAGUAUCUGUCAUACAUUAUAUAUCACGUCAUAAGCUCCGUAGUAUCUGUCAUAUAUUAUAUAUCACGCCAUAAGCUCCGUAGAAUCUGUCAUACAUUAUACGUCACGCCAUAAGCUCC
ensembl:lincRNA